rnacentral:rRNA from 1 species
GUGUCAGCCGCCGCGGUAAUACGGAGGGUGCAAGCGUUAAUCGGAAUUACUGGGCGUAAAGCGCACGCAGGCGGUUGGAUAAGUUAGAUGUGAAAGCCCCGGGCUCAACCUGGGAAUUGCAUUUAAAACUGUCCAGCUAGAGUCUUGUAGAGGGGGGUAGAAUUCCAGGUGUAGCGGUGAAAUGCGUAGAGAUCUGGAGGAAUACCGGUGGCGAAGGCGGCCCCCUGGACAAAGACUGACGCUCAGGUGCGAAAGCGUGGGGAGCAAACAGGAUUAGAUACCCUGGUAGUCCACGCCGUAAACGAUGUCGAUUUGGAGGCUGUGUCCUUGAGACGUGGCUUCCGGAGCUAACGCGUUAAAUCGACCGCCUGGGGAGUACGGCCGCAAGGUUAAA